GGAGUCUGGGCCGUGUCUCAGUCCCAAUGUGGCCGAUCGACCUCUCAGUCCGGCUACCGAUCGUCGGCUUGGUGAGCCGUUGCCUCACCAACUACCUAAUCGGACGCGAGCCCAUCCUUUAUCAAUAAAUCUUUAUCAUCUCUCAGAUGCCUAAAAAUGAACUAUCAGGUAUUAAUUCUCCUUUCGGAAAGCUAUCCCUGAAUAAAGGGUAGGUUGCAUACGCGUUACUCACCCGUCCGCCGCUCGUCGGCAAGUAUUGCUACUCCCGUUACCGCUCGACUUGCAUGUGUUAGGCCUGCCGCUAGCGUUUAUC
rnacentral:rRNA from 1 species